CAGUCGCCGCGGGAAUACAGAGGGUGCAAGCGUUAAUCGGAAUUACUGGGCGUAAAGCGCGCGUAGGUGGUCCGCCAAGUUGGAUGUGAAAUCCCCGGGCUCAACCUGGGAACUGCAUCCAAAACUGGCGAGCUAGAGUAUGGUAGAGGGUGGUGGAAUUUCCUGUGUAGCGGUGAAAUGCGUAGAUAUAGGAAGGAACAUCAGUGGCGAAGGCGACCACCUGGACUGAUACUGACACUGAGGUGCGAAAGCGUGGGGAGCAAACAGGAUUAGAUACCCCGGUAGUCCCUGUCUCUUAUAC
rnacentral:rRNA from 1 species